rnacentral:misc_RNA from 1 species
UGAUUGGUGGGUAGUCGUAAU